GGAGGCAAGUGAUGUUUAAACAAAAUCUUACUACUACACACUGAAAUUUAAUGAAGAAAAUUAACUCUCAAUUAAUUUUCUGAUGCCUCC
rnacentral:snoRNA from 1 species